UGUUGGUGAAGGGUGGUAUGGCUUCUUGGGUGGUGGUGGUGACUUGUAAACGGGAGCUGGUGGUGGUGGCGACUUGUAAACUGGUGUGUGUGGAGGGUAGUAUGGCUUCUUGGGUGGUGGUGGUGACUUGUAAACUGGAGUUGGUGGUGGUGGUGACUUGUAAACCGGGGUGUGUGGAGGGUAGUAUGGCUUCUUGGGUGGUGGUGGCGACUUGUAAACUGGAGUUGGUGGUGGUGGAGACUUAUAAACCGGGGUGUGUGGAGGGUAGUAUGGCUUCUUGGGUGGUGGUGGCGACUUGUAAACUGGAGUCGGUGGUGGUGGAGAUUUGUAAACAGGGGUGUGUGGAGGGUAGUAUGGUUUCUUGGGUGGCGGCGGUGACUUGUAAACCGGAGUUGGUGGUGGUGGCGACUUGUAAACUGGGGUGUGUGGAGGGUAGGAUGGCUUCUUGGGUGGUGGUGGUGACUUGUAAACGGGAGUUGGUGGUGGUGGCGACUUGUAAACCGGGGUGUGUGGAGGAUAGUGUGGCUUCUUGGGUGGUGGUGGUGACUUGUAAACUGGAGUUGGUGGUGGUGGAGAUUUAUAAACGGGUGCAGGAUGAU
rnacentral:lncRNA from 1 species